UCACAAAUCCUUGCAUAAAUUUGUGCAAGGUCAUAAAAUCAAACCCCAAAUCAUUCAAUUUGCCCCCUACAUUCGUGAAUCAAGCCGAAAUUUCCAUCAUGAUCACCAAAAUUCAAAAAGCCCAAUUUAAAUCCUAGACCUAAAUUAUGCAACCUGAAAUCGAUCAAUCUCUCCUUUGUAAUUUCAAAUACAUGACAUUCAUGGUUGCUUGUCCCUUAAUUCAUUGUUAUAUUCUUUAUCCAGAGGUGAAAAGCAGUGGUCUCUUGAUAUUAGAGUUUGACCGGCAGUCCAAAGCUUCAACGAUCGACCCUCGUGCCCAGGUAGUUUCUGUGAUGUUUUCACCUUCAUUCCUCAUUGAUUUCACCCUCGUUUAUAACAUCAUCCAACCUUCGUGACUUUCCACUACCAAUUUAAAAUUUGAACGGAACCCUAGCUAUUGAAUGCUCUUCGCUUGGUUUGCUGCCCUGUAGAAGGUCAGUGCCUCCUGACAUCUCUCUUUACUAUGAACUAGUUGUGUGGUUCUAUGUUCCUGAUGUUGUCUUAACUGAUUUUCCAUCGUUUAUGUUAGCUGUUAAUGAUAGAAAAUUUUGUUUGUGAUAAUCAGUCUUUGUAUGCUAUUUUCACUAUUAACUUAGGAACUUUCUAAUUGAAACAUGUUAUACUAAUUUUGUUAUUAAUCCAUGUAAUUAAAACCUUAGCUUUCAAGACUCAAUUAGUAAAAAUUACUAUAAACUAACUAACACUCUUGUGAUUAACCUUGAUAGGCUUAUGUGACUAAGCUAGGAUUAGUUUUGUACACUACAUACCUCUACUAGUUGAAUAAUGAUAUCAGGUCGACUAAAAUCAAAUUCUUUAACUCUUCUUUGUGUUCUUGUGCUUCUAGACUGUUUGACUCCUUUACUUGUGACACUGUGAGUGGAUUCCCUGUAUCUUAUGCCUUGUAGCAUGUCGACUUUAACAAUCUCGGCUUGUCAAAUGUGAUGCCUUGUUAAUACUGCAGAUAAGUGUUAUUUUCAGACCGUGUUAAGGCUUUAUCCUAUUAUUGUGUAUCACAUGUUAGUUAAGAAACUAGUCCUAAAAUUAGACUAUUAAGCUAUUCUUGAGAAUACUAUUAACAUUUACUAACACUAAAUUAUCUCAAAGUUUGUGAGUGUCCUGUAGUGUGGUUUAGCUCUUAUGUUGACCUACUAAUUCUGAUUAACAUCCUGCUUAUAUAGUUAUAGUAGAAUAGUCCUUGUGUGUCCUCUGUAAUGAUGUGAUAACUAAUGAAUCCAUGUAAUGGAUCUUACUAAGUGUGUUGGGAAGACUAUUCUUCACUAAUCCCUGUAGUUAGCUUAAUAUUAACCCUUUCAUGACUAUUAGAGUCUUUGUGAGUUUCCUGCUACUACAUUAAUGACCUUUGCACCCGAAUUACUUCUUUCAUGUUAACCCCCUUGCUAUGUUCUCGAACUGUUCUAUGACUUUAUGUUGGAGAGCAUGUAUAUUUGUACUUGUGUACAAACCUUUACUUUCCCUGGUUUUGGCUCUGCGAUAGUGCUUUACUUGAUUUUAAUAUGUGAAUGUUUCCAUCAAGGGACCUGCUCUCAUUUCUGAUAGUAAUUUAUUCUUGCGAGUUUAACUAAUAAGACUUACCUGUAACUCUGCACCAUCCUGAACAUUACAUGUAUUCAUACAAAUCGUGCAUUGGAUCAUGUUAGUAUACUAUACAAUUAAGCCUAAACCUAUCUGUAUGACCAGUUGUCUGCUCGAUGUGACAUGCUUAAUGUCUCUCACCUAUAUGGCCUGCUCUUAACCAUUCUGAAACCUCUUUUUUUAGAAAAUCUGUGAACAUGCCUACUAUUUGAAAUUUGUUUCCCUGUUUGACUAUCUCUCAUGCUUAAUUGUGUAUCCCAUAUUCUAAUCCUCUCAAUCAAUACUAUGAUCUUAGUUGCUAUUAUGCCUUGAUGAUGAACUGCAGUGCUUUGUUUGUUCAUUGUUAUCAACCUUUGUGUGUGUGUUGAACUUUCAAAAUGGUUACCAUGGCUCAUGCAUAUAUUGUUUAUGUCUUAGCAGUAUUAAUUCAUUAUGUUGAUUCAUUUAUUUAUGUUUAAGCAUCUGAGGAAGAUUAGAAGUAGGUGGUUAAUGGUAUUUGGGUGUGCAACUCGUUGUGGUUGUGAUCGCUUUCCUUGACAGAAGCACCGCUCGGGGUCCAUGAGACCCUCAUGAAGUUUGAAGUGCCAAGGGUUCAAAGGAGGAUCAUAUCUAGAAAUGCGGAUCUACACCAAGUCCUUAAUUACAAAACCCUAUGUCACGACCCAAAUUCUCCCUCCGUGAAACGUCGUGACGGCACCUAGUCUCUACGACUAGGUAAGCCUAAUACUUGUGGAAAUAAAAUGAAAAACAUGAAAAUUCAACAACUAACAGUAGAAGAUAUUUUAAUAAGCAUAUGAGAUGCCGCUCGAAAUAUACAAUAAUCAACUCUCGAAAUAUACAUGACACUCCCAAGAGCAGGAAUGUUGUAAGUCACAAGCUUCUACGAAGUUCUAAUUGUUCUAUACAUCAGUGUCGAUAGAAAUAAGAUAAGGAUCAACAUAGGGGGAUAGAGGGGGACUCCGAGGAUCUGCGGGCAUGAGCAGGUGUACCUUGAAGUUCUCCGAAAGAGCAAUAACUGCAACCAAGGACGAGGCUGGUAAAAGGAACCUGGAUCUACACACAAAAAAUAUUUGUAGAAAAAGGCGUGAGUACACUACAACGAUACCUGUAAGUGUCGAGCCUAAACUCAGUGGAGUAGUGACGAGGUCAGGUCAGGCCCAUUGGUAUAUAAUAAAAAAAGAGAAUAAGCUGUACAAUAAGAGACUAAGGUUCAAUGAAGGAAAGCAUAGUGAAAUAACAUAACCGUACACGGAAUUAAGCGACAUUGGAUCUCUCGAGAUACCGUCUCGUAGUCCCAAAAGUAAAUAUGCAGGGAGAACUCCCGAGGUACCGCCUCGUAGUCUCAAAGUAAAUGUGUAUGGGGAUCUCCCGGGAUACCGUCUCGUAGUCCUAAAAGUAAAUAUGUAGGGGGAUCUCCCGAGAUACCGUCCCGUAGUGCCAAAAGUAAAUAUCCAGGGAGAUCUCCUGGGAUACCGUCCCAUAGUCCAAAAGUAAAUACACAGCGCAAUCAAUUAAAACGACAAGUACAGCAAGAGAAAUCUACAGUCUACACUAAGUACAAGUCGGGAAAAGAGCAGGAAUUCAAUAGGCAUGCUGCAAAGAGUUCAAUUAAGAAAAAUAAGGCAAGUAGACAUGUUAUUCUAAGCUAACAGGGCAACUACACAUGCUAGUACAUUAAAUUAAGGUGGAAACAGGAAAUUUCUCAGUAAAAAAAUCAGUAUUUCAACAAAUAGCCCGUGUACGCAGUCGUCACCUCGCGUACACGGUGCUCGCAUAGUAAAAUUAGUACUAAAUCUGAAGGGGAUUUCCCCCCACAUAAGGUUAGGCAAGCCACUUACCUCAAACCAAGCUCAAUCAAUCCGUAACAAUGCUCUUUCCAGGAAUAUCCGACUCCGAAUUAUCCAAAUCUAGCCAAAAUCAAUUACAUACCAUAAAUACAACUAUAAGAAUUAAUAUAAUUAAUGAAAUCAAAGCUAAAGUAAGAAAUUGGAAAAUUGCCCUAAAAAGCCUCCCUGGGCCCAUGUCUCGGAAUCAAGUAAAAGUCACCAAAUUUGAAUACCCAUUCACUCACGAGUUCACUCGUACCAAAAUUAUACAAAUCCGAUGUCAAAAUCCCAAUCAAAACCCAAAAAUUUUAGUUGAAGAACUUCUUCCCAUUUUUCAACCCAAAUCCGAAAUUUAAUGAUGAAAUUAAUGAUAGUUCAAUGGAAUAUAACGAAAAUCAAGUGUAGAAUCAUUACCCAAUCGAUGUCUCUGAAAAUCCCGCAAACUCUCAUCCAAAUCCGAUCUCCCAAACUCAAGUUUUGAUUAAAAUGGCCAAACCCUCAUUUUUGAAAUGUUUAAUACUGCCUAGUGAUUCCUUAAUCGCGAUUCAAACUUAAUGAAUUUGAAACUUCAAAUUUCCACAACCGAUGCAGAAACCUAUCAAACCACGUCCGAUUGACCUAAAAAUUUGCACACAAGUCGUAUUCAGCAUUACGGACCUAUUCCAACUUCUGGAAUCGGAAUCCGACACCGGUAUCAAAAUUCCACUACCGGUCCAAAUCUCUAAAAUAUUGACUUUCACCAUUUCAAGCCUAAAUGAGCUCUAGACCUCUAAAACACUAUUCGGGCAGGCCUUUAAGUCCAAAAUCACCUAACGGAGCUAACGGAACCGACAGAAUCUAUUUAGGAGUCAUCUUCACACAGUUCCGACUACGGUCCAAAUCCUAAGGCUUAAACUUUCAUUUAGGGACUAAGUGUCCCAAAAGACUCAAAAUAUAUAAAUGAAACCUCCCGGCAAGUCACAAUAGUAGAAAUAGAUAUGGUAGAAGCAGUUAAUAGGGGAUCGGGGCUAUAACUCUCAAAAUGACCGGCCGGAUCGUUACAUCCUUCCUCUCUUAAAACAAUCGUUCAUCCUCGAACGAGCAUAAAGACAUAUCUGAAGUGGUGAAAAGAUGAGGAUAACGGUUGCGCAUAACAUGCUCGGUAUCCCAAGUCGCCUCCUCGACCGGCAGACCCCUCCACUGAACCUUCACGGAUGCAAUGUUUUUUAACCCCAGUCUUCAAACCUGCUUGUCUAAAAUAGCCACUGGCUCCUCGACAUAAGAUAGAUCCUUGUCCAACUGGACUGAGUUUAAAUCAAACACAUGAGUCGGAUUGCCGUGAUACUUCCAGAGCAUAGAAACAUGAAAUACUGGGUGGACCCCUGCAAGACUGUGAGGCAUGGUAAGCUCAUAAGCAAUCUCCCUAACAUGUAGGAUACCUCAAAUGGGCCGACAAACUGUGGGCUCAGCUUGCCCUUCUUUCCGAACCCCAUAACGCCCUUUAUAGGCGAAACCCGGAGCAAGACCCACUCUCCAACCAUGAAUGUAACAUCGCGAACCUUCCGGUCUGCAUACCUCUUCUGUCUAGACUGGGAUGUGCGAAGUCGAUCCUGAAUCACCUUCACCUUAUCCAGGGCGUCCUGAACCAAGUCUGUACCCAAUAAUCUAGCCGCGACCGGAUCGAACCAACCCAUUGGGGACCGGCACUGCCUACUAUACAGAGCCUCAAACGGUGCCAUCUGGAUGCUCGACUGAUAACUGUUGUUGCAGGCAAACUGCACAAGUUGUAAGAACCGAUCCCAAGUACCCCUAAAAUCUAUCACACAAGAGCGGAGCAUAUCCUCCAGUAUCUGAAUAAUGCGCUCAGAUUGUCCGUCCGUCUGAGGGUAAAAUGUUAUGCUCAACUCAACCCGAGUACCCAUCUCCUGCUGUACAGCCCUCCAAAACCUUGAUGUAACUUUCAUACACCGAUAAGAGAUGAUAGAUACAGGGAUGCCAUGAAGCCUGACGAUCUCGCGAAUGUACAUUCGAGCUAGCUACUCGGAAGAAUAAGUAGUCAUCAUAGGAAUGAAAUGAGCUGACUUGGUCAGGCUAUCAACAAUCACCCAAACCACAUCAAACCUCCGCUGAGUCUAUGGGAGUCCAACAAAGAAAUCCAUAGUGAUCCGCUCCUAUUUCCACUAUGGAAUCUCUAACUUCUGAAGCAACCCAUCCGGCCGCUGAUACUCAUACUUCACCUGCUGAAAAUUUAUGCCUCAAGUCAUGAUACAUCUUCGCGGCACCCGGAUGAAUAGAGUACUGUGAGCUUUGAGCCUCCUAAAGAAUCAACUCACGCAAACCAUCUACAUUAGGUACACAUAGCCUGCCCUACAUACUCAAUACGCCAUCAUCCCCAAUAGUGACCUCCUUAGCAUCAUCGUGCUAAACCGUGUCCUUAUGGAUAAACAGGUGGGUGUCAUCAUACUGACGCUCCCUGAUACAAUCAUAAAGAGAAUACCGAGAGACCACACAAGCCAAUACUCAACUCGGCUUAGAAAUAUCCAAUCUCACAAACUGGCUGGCUAAGGCCUGAACAUCCAAUGCUAAGGGUCUUGGUGCUGCUGGAAGAUAUGCUAAACUCCCCAAACUCUCCGCCCGACAACUCAAUGUAUCGGCCACCACAUUGGCCUUCCCCGUGUGGUACAAAAUUAUGAUAUCAUAAUCCUUAAGUACCUCCAACCACCUCCGUUGAUGCAAGUUAAGAUCCUUUUGCUUGAACAUAUGCUGCAAAUUCCGAUGAUCGGUGUAAAUCUCACAAAGGACACCAUACAAGUAGUGCCGCAGAAUCUUCAGGGCAUGAACAAUAGCUGCUAACUCAAGGUCGUGGACCGGAUAGUUCUUCUCAUGCGCCUUCAGCUAUCUGGAUGUGUAGGCAAUCACCCUACCGUCCUGCAUCAACACCGCACCAAGACCAAUCCGCGACGCAUCACAAUAUACAAUGUAGGACCCCAAACCUAUAGGCAAUACCAAACCUGUGGCUACAGUCAAAGCUGUCUUCAGCUUCUGAAAGCUCUCCUCACACUCCUAUGUACACUUGAAUGGAGAACCCUUAUGGGUCAGCCUGGUCAUAGGUGCUGUAAUAGAUAAGAAUCCCUCUACAAAAUGACGGUAAUACCCCGUUAAACCAAGAAAACUACGUAUCUCCGUAGUCGAUGACGGUCUAGGCUCACUCUGCACUACUUCCACCUUCUUAGGAUACACCUUGAUCCUAUCACUCGAUACUACAUGGCCCAAUAAUGCCACUGAGUCUAGCCAAAACUCACACUUAGAAAAUUUUGCAUAUAACUUCUUUUCUCUCAAGGUCUGAAGCACAGUCCUCAGCUCAUGAUCCUCCCGAGUCCAGGAGUACACCAGAAUGUCAUCAAUAAACACAAUAAUGAAAGAGUCAAGAUAAGGCCAGAACACACUAUGCAUCAAGUGCAUAAAGGCUGAUGGGGCAUUGGUCAGCCCAAAAUACAUAACCAGAAACUCAUAGUGACCAUAUCAGGUCUUGAAAGCAGUCUUCGGGAUAUCUGGCUCCUGAAUCUUUAACUGAUGAUAUCCUGAACAUAAGUCAAUUUUGGAGAACACUUUGGCACCCUGUAACUGAUCAAAUAAGUCAACAAUACGAGGAAAUGGAUACAUGUUCUUCAAUGUAACUUUGUUCAGCUGGCGAUAAUCAAUACAUAUACGUAUAGAACCAUCAUUUAUCUUCACAAACAAGACAGGAGAAUCCAAGGUGACACACUGGGCAGAAUGAAGACCUUAUCAAGCAACUCCUACAAUUGCUCCUUCAACUCCUUCAACUCAGGAGGAGCCACACGUUAUGAAGGAAUAAAGAUGGGGUGAGUGCCCGCCAACAAAUCAAUGCCAAAAUCAAUAUCUCUGUCGGGCGGCAUACCCGAAAGAUCAGCUGGAAACACAUCUUGAAAGUCCCUCACUAUUGGGACCGACUCAAUUGUAGGGGUAUCAAUACUGACAUCUCUCACAUAAGCUAGAUACGCGUUACACCCCCUCUCAACCAUUCAUUAGCUUUAAGAAAUGAAAUAACUCGGCUGGGAGUAUACUCUAAGGUACAUCUCCACUCUAAUCGUGGUAAACCUAGCAUAGUCAGCGUCAUGAUCUUAGCGUGACAACCAAGAAUAGCAUAAUGGGACGAAAACCAGUCCAUGCCCAAGAUAACAUCAAUAUCUACAAUGCUGAGCAAUAAUAAAUUGGCUCUGGUCUCAAAACUACUAAGAGCAAUCAAACACGACCGAUACACGGGUUCUACAAUAAGAGAAUCUCCCAUAAGAGUAGACACAUAAACAGGGGAACUCAAAGAAUCCUGAGAUACGCCCAAAUGUGGGGCAAAAUAAGAGGACACAUAGGAAUACGUAGAGCCUGGGUCAAAUACUACUGACGCAUCUCUAUGACAGACGGUAACAAUACCUAUAAUGACAGAGUCAGAAGCAACUACCUAUGUACGGGCCGGAAGAGCAUAAAACCUGGCUUAGCCUCCCCCUCUAGGGUGACCUCGACCUCCCCAACCUCUACCUCGAGCUGGCUGAUCAGGUGGGGCGGUAGCUUGUGCUGGAAUCAUGGCCUGAGGGCUCGGUGGAGCACGUGGUGGCUGAGAAGUCUUUGGAGGUGCAACCCUCCUAUGUUUGGGGCAAUCCUUCACCAUAUGGUGGGUAUCACCACACUCAAAACAACACCUCGGAGGGCGUGGCUGCUGUGACGGACUUGGGCUAGGUCUGCUGGACUGGAUGCUAAAAGUUCCCCGAGAAGGAGGCACAUUAGAUACUGGCGGUGCAUAGUAAGGCUCCUGGGGCCGAGAAGAGGCUGGAACACCACAGGCGGCUGGAAGAACUGAAUAAAUGGGGAGACCCACAUAACCCAUACCAUGGCAAACUUCUGGGGCACGAGCUCUAGAAUAAGAACCAGUCUGUCGAUACCUCUUGGCAUCUCUCUCCUCUCGGUCCCGGGCAAGCAUGCCCUCCAAUCUCCUAGCAAUACCCAUAACCUACUAGUAAGGAAUAUCCAUCUCCAACUCCCUGACCAUACUAAUCCUGAUACUGAGGUGGAGUCCCUCAAUAAACUGUCGAACCCUCUCUCGAACUGUGACAACCAAGGCUGGUGCAUGUCAGGCCAAAUCACUGAAGCGGACUGUAUACUCUGACAUAAUCAUAGCACCCUAGCACUGCUGCUCAAAUUCCAAGCACAAUGAGUCCCUAAGGCUCUGAGGGACAUACUCCUUCAAAAACAUGUCCUAAAACUUAGUCCAUGUAAGUGAAGCUGCCUUAUCCGGACUACUCAACUCAUAAGCAUGCCACCACUGAUAGGCUGCUCCUUUAAGCUGGAAAGUGGUAAAAGAAACUCCACUCGUCUCCGCUACGCCCAUAGUAAGGAGAAUACGAUAACACUCCUCCAGGAAACCCUGAGCAUUAUCUGUAGCCAAUCCGCUUAAGGUAGGUGGGUGGUACGUCUUGUACAUCUCAAGUCUGAGCUGCUCCGCCUCAAAAGCGGUUGUCCUAGUCUCAUGCUGAACCGGAGCUACCGGUGGCAUAGGAAUAAACUCUGAGUCCUGAUCAGCCUUGACCCUCUGCUCAGGAGUACGGACUGUGGGAGUCUAUGCCCCUCCCCCGGCCUGAGAUGUGGCGGGACCUAGUGGGAUCAAUCCAGCCUGAGCUAAACUACUGGACAGGCUCAUGAACUGGGCUAGAGUCUCUUGGAGGGCUGGUGCAGCAAUAGGAAUAUCCGGUGGCUGCCCUCCAGCUGGAACCGCUAGGGGAUCCUCUGUCGCAGCUCGCGUGGGUGCUAUGGCUGCACCGCAUGGCCGUACUCUAUCCCGGCCCCGGACUCUUGCGGCUCUAGUAGGGGGCGCGGGUGCCUGGUCAUCAGAUCCUCCGGUACGGGUCCGCGCCAUAUGUGAGAAAAUAAAAUAGAGAAUUUUUAGAAUUUGAUGCCAAUAACUUACAUGACAAGGAAUCAAAAGAAGUACGGUUGUUCCUAACAGUUCCAUAGCCUCCCGAAGAUAAGUACAGACGUCUCCGUACAGAUCCGCGAGACUCUAAUAAACCGGCUUGUUACUCACGACACCUACGAACCUAGGUCUCUGAUACCAACUUGUCACGACCCAAAUUCUCCCUCCGUUAAACGUCGUGAUGGCAUCUAGUCUCUAUGACUAGAUAAGCCUAAUACUUGCGAAAAUGAAAUGAAAAACCUAAAAAUUUAACAACUAACAGUAACAUAUAUUUUAUUAAGCAAAUGAGAUUCCGCUCGGCAUAUACAAUAAUCAACUCUCGAAAUAUAUAUGACACUUCCAACACCCGGAACACCGUAAGUCACAAGCUUCUACGAAGUUCUAACUAUUCUAUACAUGAGUGUCUAUAAAAAUAAGAGAAGAAUCAACAUAGGGGCAGAUGUACCUUGAAGUUCUCCAAAACAGCAACAACUGCAAUUAAGGACGAGGCUGGUAAAAGGAACCUGUAUUUGCACACAAAAAAUAUGUGCAGGAAAGGGCAUGAGUACACUACAGUGGUACCCAAUAAGUGCUAAGCCUAACCUCAGUCGAGUAGUGACGAGGUCAAGUCAGGCCUACGGGUAUCUAAUAAUACAAACAGGAGAAUAAGCAGUAUAAUAAGAGACUAAGGUUCAAUGAAGGAAAGCACAGUGAAAUAACAUAACAGGGGAUCUCCCACGAUACAGUCUCGUAGUCCCAAAACUAAAUAUGCAAGGAGAACUCCCGAGGUACCGCCUCGUAGUCUCAAAGUAAAUAUGCAGGGGGAUGUCCCAGGAUACCAUCCCGUAGUCCUAAAAGUAAAUAUGCAGGGGGAUCUCCCGAGAUACCGUCCCGUAGUCCCAAAAGUAAAUAUGAAGGGGAUCUCUGAAGAUACUGUCCCGUAGUACCAAAGUAAAUACACAGUGUAAUCAAUUACAAUCAAUAAGUAGAACAAGAGAAAUUUACAAUCUAGACUAAGUACAAGUCGGGAAAGAAGCAGGAAUUCAAUAGGCAUGCUGCAAAGAGUUCAAUUAAGCAAAAUAAGGUAUGUAGACAUGUUAUCCUAAGCUAACAGAAUAACUAUGCAUGCUAGUAUAUUCAAUUAAGGUAGAAGCAGGGAAUUUUUUAGUAAAAAGAUCAGGUUUUUCAACAAAUAGCUCGUGUACGCACUCGUCACCUCGCGUACAUGGCGUUCGCAUAGUAAAAUCAGGACCAAAUCCUAAGGGAAUUUCCCCCACACAAGGUUAGGCAGCUCACUUACCUCAAACCAAGAUCAACCAAUCUGUAACACUGCUCUUUCCACGAACAUCCGACUCCGAAUGGUCCAAAUCUAGCCAAAAUCAAUUACAUACCAUAAAUACAGCUAUAAGAAUUAAUCUAAUUAACGAAAUCAAAGGUAAAGCAAGAAAUUGGAAAAUCGCCCUAAAAAGCCUUCUCAGGCCCACGUCUCGUAAUCGAGUAAGAGUCACCAAAUAUGAAUACCCUUUCACUCACGAGUUCACUCGUACCAAAACUAUCCAAAUCCGAUGUAAAAAUCCCAAUCAAAACCUAAAAAUCUUAGUUGAAGAAUGUCUUUCCGUUUUUUUCAAUUUUCAACCCAAAUCCGAAAUUUAAUGAUGAAAUUAAUGAUAGUUCAAUGGGAUAUAACCAAAAUCAAGUGUAAAAUUAUUACCCAAUCUAUGUCUCUGAAAAUCUCCCAAAAUUUAGUCCAAAUCCGAGCUCCCAAACUCAAGUUUUAAUAAAAAUGGCCAAACCCUUAUUUUUGAAAUGUUUAAUACUUCCCAGUGAUUCCUUAAUCGCGAUCGCGGAAAUAGCCUCGCGAUCGCGAAGAAUAACUUUGCUGCCCCAAAAAUUAACUCUACGCGAAUGCAUAAAAUACCACGCGAACGUGAUGCUCUGACUCUCAUACUUACGCGAUCGCGAACAACCCUACACAUUCGCGGCGAGCAAAGUGUGUGGCCCAGCUUUGGUCCACUUAAGCCUACGCGAACCCGACCUUGUCUCUGCGUUCGCGAAGAACCACCUCACUUCACUACGCGUUCGCAUGACCCUAUCCGCGAACGCGAAGAACAAUUCCAUCCUCUUGCCCAUCUAGCGUACGCGAUCGCGGAUCACCCCACGUGAUCGCGUAUAAGGAAACCAGAACUUAGAGACCAGGAAUCUUCAGCAACCUCUUAAGUCCAAAAAGCGAUCCGCUGGGCAUCCGAAACACACCCGAAGCCCCCGAGACCUCAACAAAACAUAUCAAAUAGUCCUAAAUCACCAUACGAACUUAGUCGAGCCCUCAAAUCACAUCAAACAACGCUAAAAUCCCGAAUCGCCCUCCAAUUCAAACAUAAUGAACUUGAAACUUCAAAUUUCUAUAACCGAUGCCGAAACUUAUCAAGCCACGUCCGAUUGACCUAACAUUUUGUACACAAGUCGUAUUCAACAUUACAGACCUACUCCAACUUCCGGAAUCAUAAUCCGACCCCUGUAUCAAAAUUCCACUACCGGUCCAAAUCUGCAAAACUUCGACUUUCGCCAUUUCAAGCCUAAAAGAGCUAUAGACCUCCAAAACACUAUCCGGAAAUGCCCCUAAGUCCAAAAUCAUCUAACGAAGCUAACUGAACCGACGAAACUCCAUUCCGGAGUCAUCUUCACAUAGUUCCAACUAGGGUCCAAAUUCUAAGGCUUAAACCUCCAUUUAUGGACUAAGUGUCCCAAAAUACUCCAAAAAUCAAAACGAAACCUCCCGGCAAGUCACAAUAGCAGAAAUAGAUAUGAGAGAAGCAAUUAAUAAGGGAUCAGGGAUAUAACUUUCAAAAUGACUGACCGGGUCGUUACACCCUAUUAAUCCUCAUAGGAUUAGCAUAAAUAAAAUCUACCUUACUAUAGUCUACAGCUCUUUAUUACCAUUUAUAAUUUUAUCUUACUUAGUUUUGUACAAUUGAUUUGCUUUAAUUAUUCUCUUUUAUUUAUAUGCAUGAAUUUAACUUGUCCAUGUUGAGCCCAUUCGAAGAUCAUGUCCACUUUCAGACCUAGGUUGUCAUAUUCCUGUCGCGCCUGUUGUUCGUGCUCAUGGUGUUGGUCCUCGUUAAGCCUACUAAGCCCAGAUCGCCAAGGUUCCAGUUUCUUUCCCCUUAUUUAUUUUAAAUUUAUUUCGCUAUUGUUUGAUCUGUCAUAUAUGUAUAUUCUUAAAUGACUAACAUUAUUAUAGGAUAACAUAAAUUCCUUGAUUGUGUAGGAACGUAGGCAAACCCAAAGAAUACAGGGUAAAAGAAUCAAGCCAAAUUCUGCUCAUUCUAGGAUUGUCAAUGUUUGAUUACUAACUGAUUUCCAUGUUUAUCUUUCUUUUUCUUUUUUUAAUAUGAAAGGUUCUAUCUUUAUCACUAACAACUUUCAAUAAGUUUAUGUUUUGAAAGAUACCAAUAGCAAUGUGAAACCCCUUUGGAAAUUAGAACUGCGAAAGAAAAUUGAAAAGUUGUUUUCAUGAAACAAAACAAAACCAAACACAACAAACUUUUACAAAUGGGUGGACCCCAACGAAAAUUUCAAAAUUCAUGGUUUUUAUAUAUUUGAUUUUCAAGACUAAUGAUUUGUAUUAAAAUAAGUCUUCACCUUACUAAAUCUCAUACAAAUUAACUGCUUUUCUAACAUACACACCUAACUCUCUUUCAAACAAGAAUGCCCUUAUUACAAGAUUUUAAGAUAUAUCCGGCUUUUCAAUUUCAUAAGUAUACACAUUUCAAAGGUGACUUUUUUGUAUAAAAACCAAGCUUCUAACCUCUUUCCAAGGUACAUACACGCCCCAUUUCUUCUUAAAAUAGUGAACCUUAGACUUAGAACAUUUUUUUAGAUUUUGAGCACUUGACUAAGCAGAGUAUAGACUUUCCUUUCCCAAACCUAGCCUAAUCUUAAGUAGCUACCCCAUGUAGAUUCUGUGGGGUGCCUAACACCUUCCCCUUUGAAUAACUAGAGCUGUUACCCAAAUCUCACCGGCUAUCAGACUAUUAGGAUAAUAAUAAACCUAUAGGUACCCUAAUAUACCUUAAAAUAUUAGGUGGCGACUCCAUUUAUCAACUUUAGAUGAACCACUAGUUGUAUUUUAUUUUGACUUGUACAGAAUAUGGUGCAACAAUGAAGUAUGGAUACAGACCAGGGUCUAGGA
rnacentral:lncRNA from 1 species